rnacentral:rRNA from 1 species
GACGGAGGGCGCAAGCGUUGUUCGGAAUUACUGGGCGUAAAGCGCGGGCAGGUGGUCUGUUAAGUCGUUUGUGAAAAUCCGGGGCUCAACCCCGCGAAAUGCAGACGAUACUGGCAGGCUGGAGAUCGGUAGAGGCUAGCGGAAUUCCUGGUGUAGAGGUGGAAUGCGUAGAUAUCAGGAAGAACACCUGUGGCGAAGGCGGCUAGCUGGGCCGAGUCUGACACUCAUCCGCGAAAGCGUGGGGAGCAAACAGG